rnacentral:rRNA from 1 species
UACGUAGGGUGCAAGCGUUGUCCGGAAUUAUUGGGCGUAAAGAGCUCGUAGGCGGUUUGUCGCGUUUGCUGUGAAAAACUCGGGGCUUAACCCCGGGCCUGCAGUGGGUACGGGCAGACUAGAGUGCGGUAGGGGAGACUGGAAUUCCUGGUGUAGCGGUGAAAUGCGCAGAUAUCAGGAGGAACACCGGUGGCGAAGGCGGGUCUCUGGGCCGUAACUGACGCUGAGGAGCGAAAGCGUGGGGAGCGAACAGG